UGGGUAUUAGCCAAGUGGUAAGGCAAUGGUUUCUGAUACCAUUAUGCGCUGGUUCGAACCCAGCAUACCCAG
rnacentral:tRNA from 1 species